AGUUCUGCUGCUAGGAAUUUCACAAGGUGGUCUCUCUCGGUGUCGACCGAGUUCCGAGCCACGUAAAGGAGCAUUGGCACCACCUCCUCCAUAAAAGGCCCGCCAUUGCUUCUCCUUCACCAUUCUCACUUCCUCCAACCGUCAACAGACAACAAGAAGGGGCUCCAUCUAGCCAGCGAGCCAGCCAAAGACGAUGAGGUCAAACGCCCCGACGCUGCUGCUGCCUCUCGCCUUCCUCCUCAUCCUCCUCCUCGUACCACCGCUGGCACCAGCUGAGGCGAGGUCUGAUUGUACGAGCCAAGUCAUUGAUCCGAUGGGCAAAAAGUGCGAUCGCGCGGGUUGUUACUUGAGCAGCCGCGUAGCCUACGCUCAGAUUGGAUGCCACAAACCUGCGGUCAGUUGUUCUUGGACUGCCUACUGCAGCAGCGAGGGGUGCAACUUCACCUACUGCAUGUAUAGCUAAGAUAGGCCGGCAUGUUGAUCUGAUAGAAUAACAAAUAUGAUACCAUGGCAAUGCAAUAUGUACUACCUUCGUUCCUAAAUAUAAGGCGUUCCCACAGUUCAAACUGAACCAAUGAGACGUCCUAUAUAUAUUCGAAAAGUUGUUGUAGCUCCGGGGUCCCGACCCCCGGUUAUCCUACCGUCUGGCGCAGUUGAGAUUCGUGCAGUGUUCAUUGCAAUCGCAGAACAUUUGCAGCUGUUGCAUGCUUGUCUAGGCAUUUGACUGUUUUAAUUAUAGGACAAGUAGCCUAUAGGGGUAGGCAGCAGGUUAUAGGGUUAUGCAUGCGCUCUGUGUAUCCCAUUAAAGUGUCUGACAUGCAUGCACAGGCUGCACAGCAGUCUUUCUCCUCACUGUUUCUCAUAUGCAUGCUCAAGCACAACACAGUCUCUCUCGGGUCUCUCACAAGCUCUCUCUCACUAAAAAUAAUAGAAAAAAGCUCUCUCACAGUCUCACUAAAAGGCGUGGCUAUGCAUGCGUUUUUUUAUAGUGAUCAGUCAUCUAGCUGAGAGAGAAGUGACAAUGAGUAGAGAGAGAGAUGGAGCUAAGGAUGACUGGUCACAUCUGUCAAUGGCAGCUACACAGCCUACCAACAGUAGGUGGCUACGAUGCUCUUCGGACCUAGUGAUGCACUAGAGCGCAUGCAUGAUACGUGGCGCUCGAAACACCGGUAAAAUUGCCCCAUUACAAAAGUAUGGAGCUGCUAAUCCAACUGGUGUUUCCAGACAUGGCACAGAUCUCAACGUUUCCUAUUGUACAUGGAUGGUUAUGAUAAGAGGGAGUUCAGACUCCCGGGUCCUAAAAGGCUGGUCUCGUAUAUAUUUAGAAACAAAGGAUGUAGUUAUAUAUGUUCUCUGCCAAGCGAUGUACCUGAAUCGUGAAUUAUUAACAUGCCUACCAUGAAUAUGUCUCUAUUUUAUAUCAUCCAGAAAUUAUGUUCAAUUUAUGUACUAUAAGCAUUAACUCUCCGCGUAUCUUUGCCUUUGGUCUAUCCGAUACUUGUCCAAGGAAAUCACUGUGCGAUGAUCAAUGCGUGCAAGGAUGAUUGUAAAGGGGAGCAUUGUAUUGGUCGUGGUCGUUGCCACAAUUUCCAUAUAUAAUUGAUGUUGUUGCAAGAGGGUAUGUGUGGGGAAUACGUGGAUUUACGAACUGAAAAGGCUAGAUGAGGAGAACCAAACCGAGCCUGAAUUUUCAGUUAGUUUUGGUAUAUGGUGGUAUAGGAUUUAGAAACGAUACAAAACUGGGUUUUUGGCUAUAAACCAUGAAAAUGGUAAAAA